GCCAGUGUGGCUUAGCGGUUUGAGUAUUGGACUAUGACUCUGGAGACUAGGAUUCAAUUCCCUGUUCGUUCC